UUUUUUUUUUUUUUUUUUUUUUUUUUAGUCCAUUCAGCCACUGUAUGUCUUUUGAUUGGAGCAUUUAAUUCAUUUACACUCAAUUAAUGAUAGGUGAGAUUCCAGUGUUUCCUCCAGAAAGGCACAUUAUUCCUCCACCAUGGUCUUCUUUUUCCUGUGUACCUUGACCCUGUAGGAGAUGAGACUUCUAAAGUGAUUCCUUUCCCUCUUUUCUCCUCAUCACCCCUUCCCACUCUCUAAGGUUUUCAGGUGCUGGUUCCAUGGCUCUUCCUGAGCCGAAAAUAAGGAAACUCCAUAGACCUUGUCCACUGGAACUCGUUCCCAUCUACCCUCCACUCUAUCCAGGGUGAUGGAUCUCUGCAGAAAGAACCCAUAGAAACACAAGGAAGAAGGUCAUGUGAAGAUGGAGGCAGAGAUUGGAGGGAUGCAGCCACCGGCCCAGGAAUGCCAGCAGCCACCCAGAAGCUGGAAGGAAAUGAGGGAUUCUCUCCUAGAACCUUUAGAGAGAACAUGGUCCUGUGAACAGCUUGAUUUUGGACUUGCCCAUAGCUUGUAUACUCUUACUUUGGAUACAAUUUUAUCCAAACUUGGCUAAACAGUUUCUCAGCCUAUGGAAAAUUUAAAAUGGAGAAGAUUCAACUCGAUUCUUACAGAUUCAAAGCAAGAAAAUGAUGGGAACAUAGGAGGAGACCAAGAAAGCCUAUAAAAAGCAAAAAUAUGAAGUGAACAUUGUGGUAGCUUUAAGAUGUUUAGUGUAGCUGCAGGCACCCUAUACACAUGAAAACCCCCAAGGGGAAUCCCCAUAUCACAGUGUAGUGUGAUAUUUGACAUUCGUGAUCAUCUAGAGAUGUACAGAAAAGGUGAAUCUGUGUUCUGUAUAUUCUGCCUAAGGCAAAGAAAUGUUUAGCUCUCUUUAAAAUAGUUCCAUAAUUUUUUCUAAAAAGCUUUGCUUGAAAACUGUAAGCUUCCCAUAUCUGGAGCAUUUCACUUUAAAUAUUUGGAUAAAUAUGUUAUCUUCUUACUUGGACAUUUCAUGUGUUUAGGGAUUGUCUUCUAAAUUCUUCCUAAUUCAUAUAGCUGCUAACACUUCCCGCAGAGCUAAACCAUUACAGAUAUGAAAUAAAGACCUAUUGAUUUGA
rnacentral:lncRNA from 1 species